ensembl:rRNA 5S_rRNA 5S ribosomal RNA
GUCUGUGGCCAUACCACCCUGCAGGCACCUGAUCCCAUCUGAUCUCAGAAACUAAGUAAGGUCAGGCCUGGUUAGCAUUGAGUGGGAAAAAUAAAUGUGAAAGGCCUGAAAACAGGCC